GCAACCAGCGCACUUAAGGCAUGGGACAAAAAGAGAUUAGGGUUCUUUGUUCUCUCGCUGUGAUUAUCAAAGUUUCUAAUUGGUAAGAAGACUCCCGUUCCUUUGUUCUGCUUAUCUACUGCCAUGGGGGGAGGAAGCCAAUUCUCUGAAGCCUGACACAAAGAUGUGAUUGUUGUAUCUGCAGUCUGAAGUGGUACGGUCCAUUCUACCAUCCCAGGGCUCUCCCACUUCAUUCUGUUGUGGGUUUAGAUACAACCUGGUUUCCGCUGCAGUCCGUUACAUAAUUGUCAAAAUUAUUAAUUUAUUCAGGGCGCUAGCCAGUCCUAUCUCCUCUUUGGAGGCUCCCUGUUCAAGCAGUAGUAGGUCUGGAGCUCAGCAAGGCAUUAAUACUCCGUGCCAGGACUUGGAUAGAAGUAGGGUGGCAACUUUGCUUGACAAAUCUAUCAAAACAGAGUUUGACCUUUGAUGGUUAUUCAUUGAGCUGAUCGUCUUUGUAAGUGACUAAGGUAGUUAACGCAUCAUAAAAAUCUACACAAGCGACUUGGCAAGUGUCCUCUUGGUUGCCUUGGCCAAUUACCGCAUCCAUCACUUAGGCUGAUGGAAUGAAAGAGCAAUGUUUUAUAUGUAAAUCACUAGCUGUACCAUUUUCAUUUUUCAUGGGAAGUCUGCACAAGCCUUUUAAAAUAUCCAUCUCCGGCACCCAGAGAUUUGCUUUUAUCUUUCACCAUUAAUAUUUACCACCAGCCAGGCAUAGGAGAUAGUCACUGGGAAGUUCCAGUUUCCUUGCCAAGACAGACUUUUGUUUAAAUUUAUAAUGGUCGCUCUUUGGGGAAUUGCUGAGAAGUUAAGUCUGUGCUUUGUUUUUGAUUGGCUUGGAUUUGGAGCAUCUCAAGUAAGAAAAAAGGUAUCACACAUCUGAAGAGUGUCAUGUACAGUAGUGCUUUGAGUGUUCUGCUAAGACUGGGGAAGAGACCCAGGUGCAAAUCUCCACCACCCAGUUAUGAAGCUUACCAGGUGAUCUUGGAUGAGUCACUAUCUUUCUCAACCUAACCCACCCCACAGGGUUGUUGUGAGGGUAAAAGUGGAGGGAGAUAAUGUUUGAAUUUGCAGGCUACCCUGUGUCCUGGUCCCAGGUGUGUGUGUGUGUGUGUGUGUGUGUUACCAUGCGGCGUGGUCCGUGUCCGGUCCAAGGCUGAAGCGGGGUCCAAGGCAGGGAGUCAGGCAUGGUCAGGAACUCUGGCAGAAAGCAGGACAGGGUGCCGGCAGGAACAGGUAACCAACGAUGUUGCUCCUACAACCUGGGACUGGGCAGGCUGGCCUUUAUCUCCUCUGAGGCAUAGGGUGGCCCUGGUCCACAGGUGACUUGCCUCUCCUGGCCUGGAGGCGAGCACUCCUCCUGCAAGAACUUAGUUCCCUCCGCCUCUCUGCCCUGAGCCUCUGCAGCUCAGGAGAGGCUGGAGGGUUACUGGACCCAGAGGCAACCUCACCUUCCCCUGAUUGGGCUGGGAGAGGAGCACCUGCAGGCAAUGGGUCCUCGAUCACCUCCGGAGCCAGAGCGGAUUCGGCUGGUGUCUGCUUCUGAGGAUCCGGCACAGGUGAGGGCCCUUCAGGUUCAAGCCCCUGCCCCGGCUCAGACGGCCCUGGACUCCUGUGCAGGCUGGGAUUCCUCAGGUUCAGCCUCUGAAUCAGAUUCCCAGGCCAUCACACCCUGAGAGCGUUUGUGUGGAAGGGUGGGAUUUAAAACAUUGCACAAAUAAGUAAAGAAAAAAAAGGAGGGACAGAAGAGAAGAGAAUAUGGGUCAUGCAAUUUAAUUGAACAGCAAUCAGGAUCAGAGCUGAGUUGUAACUGGUUGUUGAGUGGAACCAUAGUCAGGAACUCGAAGCCAAGAUGACUCAAGUCCCUGGCCCUCAAGACUUUCCCCAAGCCAUGCCAUGCUCUUCCCAGGUGGUUACAUCCUGUCCUACAGGGAAGUGGGUGGCGCUGUGGUCUAAACCACUGUGCCUCUUGGGCUUGCUGAUCAGAAGGUUGGCGGUUCAAAUCCCCGCAACUGGGUGAGCUGCCAUUGCUCUGUCCCAGCUCCUGCCAACCUAGCAGUUUGAAAGCAUGCCAGUGCAAGUAGAUAAAUAGGUACCACUGUGGUGGGACGGUAAACAGUGUUUCCAUGCGCUCUGGUUUCCGUCACUGUGUUCUGUUGCGCCAGAAGCGGUUUAGUCAUGCUGGCCACAUGACCCGGAAAGCUGUCUGUGGACAAACGCCGGCUCCCUUGGCCUGAAAACGAGAUGUUCACUGCAACCCCAUAGUCACCUUUGACUGGACUUCACUGUCCAGAGGUCCUUCACGUUUACUUUACCUUACAUCCUGUCCUUACACUGAUCUGCAUCCUUUUCAUGUACUGGAAUGUGCCCUUGCCCCGUGACAGUUCCACUUGCUUGUCUCAAUGAAGGCUGAGGGAGGGUGUAGUAACCUUGAACUUUUAAGCACACACACACACACACACACACACACACACACACACACAAAUUCAUUGGUUUUUAAGCAAAUACAGAUACAAGAACCAUUAAACACUUAUCCAGCAGUACACCUAAUGGUGUUUGUUCUAUCCAUUGACUUUAGACACAAGCUUACACAUUCCAUGUUAAAACCUAUUACUUAACAUAACCUCUUCGCUGAGAAGAUUGAGCAGUUAGUAUAACAAGUUCUUGAUGUGGGUCAUUAACAUACUUAAAGCAAGGGGUUCACCUUGGACAGUGUCUCUAUUUGUCAUGCCUUUAAUUUCCCUUCUGUGUCUGGUGAGAUGCUAAUACAUUCCUGUAUCCCAGAUAUUAUUUCCCCUAUCUUCUUCUUCUUAUUUAAAUAUAUUUUUUAUUUGCUUUUCUGUUAUGUCUCAUAAUCAACACAUGCUAUGUUACAGUCAUACAUAAAAAAAUAGCAUAGGUAUAAAACAUAAACAUAUGAUAGUGAUAAUAACGUAUCUAAAUUCUAACGUAUCCGGGAAGGGCGGGGUAUAAAUAAAUAAUAAUAAUAAUUAUUAUUAUUAUUAUUAAUUAUUAUUAUUUUAUUAUUUCUUCCAAGAUUAUUUAAAUCCUCUGUCUUUUCUUUCUUUUCUUUUCUUUUACACAGUAGUCAUCAUAAAUAAAUGAGAAUAAAAAUGUGCACCCCACUAUCCAACCUCCCAAAAUUUCAACACCUCUUGCGAUGGUUUGACCCCUUUCCAUUUUAACAGUAGAAACACCCUCCAUAUCUCCUCAUAAUCAUUUCUCCUGCAUUUUCCCCAUCUUACCUUAAUGGCACAUGUUAAUUUAUCAUUAAUAGCUAUAUCCCGUUCCCUUAUCUUCUGUCCCCAACAUCUCACUGCCUCUCCCCAGCAUAUUGUCAGCAGAGGCAAUUGCCUCACUUUGCCCAAUGACAGGGCUGGCUCUGACCUUUAUGUAUUGCAGCAGCAGCAGCAGCAGUGAUCCAGACUUCACGUCCACCCAGGCACGCCAGAGUUAAAUUUGCUGGUGUUCCAAAGGGAGCACCUUUCUUCUAACCUAAUGAAUGGAAGAGGGACAAAAGGCAGGAGGUAAACAGUGAACCCAGGCGCCAGGCCCACAAACUUUUAUUUGGUCCUCCGGUGAACAAGGGGCCUUUUGUUUUCUCCUUGUACCAGCCUAUGGAGCGCAUCUCCAAUUAGUGUAAUUCAGCCCAGCUCUUCCCCGGAACUCUGCUGACAGUUACCACCCGCAGAUGUCCUUUUAACAAGACUUGGACUGCACCGCCUGCCAGUUACAUCGCUUUGCCGUUUCAUUAUAUUUUGCAGAUUAUCACUGAUAUUCAUUUUUAACUAGGUAUUCAUCCCUUGGCCUUCCCAUGCAGGAGGCCACUGCAUUUAGCUCAGAAAAGCCUUAGAGUGGCAUAAUCAUUUCUUCCAGUGAUUCAAGUUCUCAUUUGUUCCUCUUGUGUGCACCAUGAAUCCCCAAGGGACUAGAGCAGUCUUCCCUUCUUCUUUGGCGAUCACUCAUAGCUGAUUAAGAUUGUCUUCCAUAAACACAGUUUUAACAGUGAGUCCAUAAGUGACUGUGGAGGCUAAUUCUGGAUCCACAUGUCCUUCCAGAGUAGGGACAUAGGUUUCUGGGUGGGAGUUGAUCACGGUGAGGGUUUGCCAAGCGUGCCUUCCUCUUAGCACGUUUCUCCUUUUCGUCCUGAGUUUGAGCGUCUUCAAAGCCCAUGACACCUUUGGUAAAGGCUGUUCUCCAACUGGAGCGCUUGCAGGCCAGGGUUCCCCAGUUGUCAGUGUUUAUACUACAUUUUUUUAGAUUUGCCUUGAGAGAGUCUUUAAACCUCUUUUGUUGACCACCACUUUCCAUUUUUAAGUUUGGAAUAGAUUAGUUCCUUUGGAAGACGAUAAUCAGGCAUCUGAACAUGACCAGUCCAAAGAAGUUGAUGUUGAAGACCACAUUAUGAUAGACGGCAGAGGCCCCUGGGUCUAGUAGCACUUUUGUGAUGUCACAUGUCAGCAAUGUCAUGUGCUAGUGAUGUCAUAAUCAUGUAAAGGUAAAGGUAAAGGUAAAGGUAAAGGUAAAGGUACCCCUGCCCGUUCGGGCCAGUCUUGCCAGACUCUAGGGUUGUGCGCUCAUCUCACUCUAUACGCCGGGAGCCAGCGCUGUCCGCAGACACUUCCAGGUCACGUGGCCAGCGUGACAAGCUGCAUCUGGCGAGCCAGCGCAGCACAUGGAAUGCCGUUUACCUUCCCUCUGGUAAGCGGUCCCUAUUUAUCUACUUGCACCCGGAGGUGCUUUCGAACUGCUAGGUUGGCAGGCGCUGGGACCGAACGACGGGAGCGCACCCCGCUGCGGGGAUUCGAACCACCGACCAUGCGAUUGGCAAGUCCUAGGCGCUAAGGUUUUACCCACAGCGCCACCCGCGUCCCUCAUGUAUGUUACCCACAGCGCCACCCGUGUCCCUCAUUUAUGUAUAAUCAUGUAUGUUUCCUUAACUCUCACAGCUGUAGCUGCUCCUGGCAAGGGGGCCACUAUGUGAUCAAGACUGGACCUACCAUUAGGCAGAGUGAGGCAGUGAGAGGAGUAAAUCACACUGAGUAAGUUCGAGUCAACUCUUUAUUCACAAACACAGGAAUGUCAGCCCCAAUGAGAACGGCAGCUCACCUCCGGCAGGUCUUGCUGCCACGAAGCACUUGCUGAGACUGAAGGUCCCUGCCCUCCCCAUAGCUGCCUGUCCCUUCCUCCCCAGGGUUUCUCCCAAGCAAUCUGAGAUGAUGCCUACAUGAAGAUAACCUUGCCUCCAUCCUCUUCAGGAGGUUCUGGGAGAGAAGCUGUGAGGGGAGCUUGUCACAGCUGGAGGGGGAGACACCCAUGCCUCUUCACCAGCCUGACUCACCUCUGCUUUUUGGCCUCCCUCCUCUCCUACUUCAGUUUUUGCCGCUUAUUCUGGACUUCUUUCUGCCACAGAGUCUCCCUUCUCACAAAGCCCUGUUACCUCUUCAGUUUCCAACACCUCCUCUUCCCAGUCACCCCACCACCAAUUCACUCCUCUGAGUCUUCUUUCCUUGGGGGUUCCCCAGCUGGUUCCACCCAACAUUCCUUUGCAUCCAUCCAGUCCAUGACGGACAGCUGUCUCAGGUGGAAAAUGCUGGGAGACAGGCAGUAGUGGAUAGGAUGGUGGUUCAGGAGAAGGGAGGCUGGUGCAGUGCAGAUGUACUAGUGGAGCCAUUCUGGCACUCCUCCCUGCCCCCGAUAUCCACAGCUCAAGUGGAUAUUCCCCGUUUCUGCCAAACCAUUGUGGCAGGUGAGGUUACAACUCAGUCUAGUUACUGUUGGUAUUCAACUCCCAGUAAACAAGCAAAAAUGUAUAAAACAGGGUCAAAUAUAUGUUGGAAAUGUAUGGAAAAAGAAGGCACCUUUUAUCAUAUUUUGGGAAAUGAUAAUAAUAAU